rnacentral:misc_RNA from 1 species
GUAGCUCUCAUCAAAGCUUUAAGGAAGCUCUUUGUUUUUUGAAAGGGUGCUUUUAUGAGAUAGAGCUUUUUUAGAUAAUGCUUUUUUAGAUAAUGCUGGGGAAGGUUUUCCGGUUUAUCUCGGAGGGCUUGUAGCUCAGUUGGUUAGAGCGCGCGCUUGAUAAGCGUGAGGUCGGAGGUUCAAGUCCUCCCAGGCCCACCAAUUUACCUAUCCAUUUGCCUUUAUCCGUUUAUUUGCCGAUUUAUCGGUCCAUUGAAUUUAAGUGUUGGUAGCAGUUUUAUAAUGAUGAGAAAUCAUGCUUAUAAAAGAAUUCCUUAUAAAAGGCUUGUUUUUAAAAUGUGACGCUUAUCCAUUUCGCUUAGGCAAGAGAAACUUCAAGCGGUUCAAAUACAAAAGGCUUUAAGUUUUGCAAAACACUUUGAAUUUUGCAAAACACUUUGAAUUUUAAAGUGAUCCAAGUUCGUGAUCUCGAAUUUAAAAGUUUCGAAUGCUUUAUCCUUUUUUGGGGGCCGUAGCUCAGCUGGGAGAGCACCUGCUUUGCAAGCAGGGGGCGUUC